rnacentral:rRNA from 1 species
UACGUAGGGAGCAAGCGUUGUCCGGAAUCAUUGGGCGUAAAGCGCGCGUAGGCGGCCCGAUAAGUCCGCUGUGAAAGUCAACGGCUCAACUGUUGGAUGCCGGUGGAUACUGUCGGGCUAGAGUACGGAAGAGGCAAGUGGAAUUCCUGGUGUAGCGGUGGAAUGCGCAGAUAUUAGGAAGAACGCCAGUGGCGAAGGCGGCUCACUGGUCCGGUACUGACGCUGAGGUGCGAAAGCGUGGGGAGCAAACAGG